rnacentral:rRNA from 1 species
UUGGCUCAGGAUGAACGCUGGCGGCGUGCUUAACACAUGCAAGUCGAACGGACACUUUUUACCGACGAAGCUGAGAGCUUGCUCAAGGCCAAGUCACCGAGAAGUGUUAGUGGCGGACGGGUGAGUAACGCGUGGGCAACCUGCCUUGCACAGGGGGACAACAGUUAGAAAUGACUGCUAAUACCGCAUAAGCCGACAGUGCCGCAUGGCGCAGCCGGAAAAGAUUUAUCGGUGCAAGAUGGGCCCGCGUUGGAUUAGUUAGUUGGCGGGGUAACGGCCCACCAAGACGAUGAUCCGUAGCCGGCCUGAGAGGGCGACCGGCCACAUUGGGACUGAGACACGGCCCAAACUCCUACGGGAGGCAGCAGUGGGGAAU